UACGUAGGGCGCAAGCGUUAUCCGGAAUUAUUGGGCGUAAAGAGCUCGUAGGCGGUUUGUCGCGUCUGCCGUGAAAGUCCGGGGCUCAACUCCGGAUCUGCGGUGGGUACGGGCAGACUAGAGUGAUGUAGGGGAGACUGGAAUUCCUGGUGUAGCGGUGAAAUGCGUAGAUAUCUGGAGGAACACCGGUGGCGAAGGCGGCAUCCUGGACCGGCAUUGACGCUGAGGCGCGAAAGCUAGGGGAGCAAACGGG
rnacentral:rRNA from 1 species